AGUACAGCGCGACUCGCGGACCGGGACGGACGCGCGUCCCACGGGGAGCCAUCAUUUCUUUGUGUUCAUCGAACUUUAAUCUGGACAGUGUUUGACGUCGUCAUGUUGUGAACGCGAGUGGAAGGCGAUGUGACGCCGGGACGCGGAGGGGGCCCGCACCCACCUGACGCGGGCAGCCGAGCGAGGUCCUCGAAGCUCGCCGGCCGUCCCUCCGCCUCCUCCUCGCCGGCCGCCGCCGGGGGCUCGUACCGGGUCCAGUUGCUGAACACCUGCCGCUUGGCGUACUUCCUGCUGGUCAGCGCCGCGAUCUCGUCCGUCUCCCGCUUCAGCCCAGAGAAGUCCGGCAGCUCCGGCGGCUCUGCGGGCAGCCAGGUCACGCUUCACGCACCGCGACGCCGUCUUAGGAAAUAAUUAAAUCAAUUUUUAGCGUGUGAGAAAAUGGGCACAGCCAUGAAGAAAAGCAGAGUUACAACAAAAUAAUACAAAUAAAAAUGUGCUAAUCUGAAUUUUGGUACAUAUGGACGAACUUGAAUUACUCAAGAUGAAAACAUGACCGGAGUAAGAUGAUGAAAGUUUAUAAAUAGUAGCAAUAAUAUUGUGCAUAUUUAUUAAUGCAACUUUUUUUAUUCCACUUUUAAAAUUCUGGUUAAAAGGAAGAAAAAGGGUGGAACAAGGAAACCUUUUUAAGCAAAUAAAAAAAUAUAUGGCAUGAUUAAAAUACUUACAAAAGUUAGGUUUUUCCUUUAAACUUCACCAUUAAGAUGGUAAAAUUAAGGUACAUAUAUUAAUAUUUUUUGAAAAUAAUAUAAUUUCUCCUAAUCUUUGAAAGCAAGAGGUUAGAAAUUGCAUGUGAGUAGUACACCUGAAAAAUAUACAAACUUAUUUUACCAACUUUCAAAUUUCUAAUGCUAUGGGGGUGAAUUAAGUUUUUUUAAAGAAAAAUCAUAACUCCUAAUUCAUAAUAUGUAUUAGUAAGUAAGGCACUGGUCAUGAAUAAAAAAAAUACAUAACCUA